CCUACGGGUGGCAGCAGUGGGGAAUAUUGGUCAAUGGGCGAAAGCCUGACCCAGCAAAGCAGCGUGCAGGAUGAAGGCUUUCGGGUUGUAAACUUCCUUUUACAGGGAAGUGAAGAAGACGUUACCUGUCGCAUAAGCCACGACUAACUACGUGCCAGCAGCCUCGGUAAUACGUCAGUGGCAAGCGUUGUCCGGAUUUACUGGGUGUAAAGGGCGUGUAGCGGGGCUGACAAGUCAGUUGUGAAAUCCGGGGGCUCAACCCCCGAACUGCAGUUGAAACUGUUGGUCUUGAGUAGCGGAGAGGCAGGCGGAAUUCCUAGUGUAGCGGUGAAAUGCGUAGAUAUUAGGAGGAACACCAGUGGCGAAGGC
rnacentral:rRNA from 1 species